rnacentral:pre_miRNA from 7 species
AGUUCAGGUUCAGAGGACACCAUCUCAAAGUGAAAGACCCCCGAAGGGAGACCCUCACUCAGGCCUCGGGACAGCCGCGGACCCAAGAAGACACUGAGACCG